AAAGGUAGCGUAAUCAUUAGUUUUUUAAUUGAAAGCUUGUAUGAAUGGUUGGACGAGAUAAAUACUGUCUUUAUUUAAUUUAAUUUAGAAUUUAACUUUUGAGUGAAAAGGCUCAAAUUUAAUUAAUAGACGAGAAGACCCUAUAGAUCUUUAUAAAUUAUUUAUUAAUUACAUUAGGAUUAUUUAUUAAUUAAUAGUGAUAUUUAUUUUAUUGGGGUAAUAUGAAGAUUUAAUAAAUUCUUUGAUUUUUAUACAAAGAUAAUUGAUUAGUUGAUCCAUUAUUAGUGAUUAUAAGAUUAAGUUACCUUAGGGAUAACAGCGUAAUUUUUUUAGAGAGUUCAUAUCGAUAAAAAAGU
rnacentral:rRNA from 1 species